GACGAACGCUGGCGGCGUGCCUAAUACAUGCAAGUCGAGCGAGUCUGCCUUGAAGAUCGGAGUGCUUGCACUCUGUGAAACAAGAUACAGGCUAGCGGCGGACGGGUGAGUAACACGUGGGUAACCUGCCCAAGAGAUCGGGAUAACACCUGGAAACAGAUGCUAAUACCGGAUAACAACAGAUGAUGCCUAUCAACUGUUUAAAAGAUGGUUCUGCUAUCACUCUUGGAUGGACCUGCGGUGCAUUAGCUAGUUGGUAGGGUAACGGCCUACCAAGGCGAUGAUGCAAAGCCGAGUUGAGAGACUGAUCGGCCACAUUGGGACUGAGACACGGCCCAAACUCCUACGGGAGGCAGCAGUAGGGAAUCUUCCACAAUGGACGCAAGUCUGAUGGAGCAACGCCGCGUGAGUGAAGAAGGGUUUCGGCUCGUAAAGCUCUGUUGUUGGUGAAGAAGGACAGGGGUAGUAACUGACCUUUGUUUGACGGUAAUCAAUUAGAAAGUCACGGCUAACUACGUG
rnacentral:rRNA from 1 species